GACACUGCAAGGAGAAGGAAGCACAGUCACCUGACAGCAGGUCUGUCAGUGGUUUAUCCUGAAGGAGUACAGUUUGUGUCAACUCUUGAAAAUGAAGGAUGAUGAUGGUGGUGAGAGAACACACACACUGCACUUCCUUUGUACCAGGCCCAGAGCAUAAUUUAACUUAUGGACAAAAAUUACCAUGCACAACAGAAGCAUAGAGCGACAGAGGCCACCAGAAACUGUACAGACUAUUUUAAACAAAGUAAGUUUUUACCCAUGUGAGCAAGUGCGGGAUAGCUGGUACCAUGCACUUAUUCAUUUGCUUAAAUAGUCAUUAAAAGCACUGCCGAGCAACUUUACUGGCCCCGGCCUGUGCUGGAUCCUGGGGUCAAAGGGAUGAAUAAGACUCUGCCCAGAAUACAGCAUGGUACCUUGUGGGAACCAAAGCAGUAUCACUUAGCUCAUCUGGCAGUGGAAAUCAGAGAGGACUUCUUAAAGGAGAUGCUUCAUUUGCUUCUUAAAGUAGAAGCAGGAGGAGUUCGCCAGAGAAAGAGGGAGCAAGACAUGUGAAAGAGCUGGCAUGUUUUGGGGAAGAUUGCUAAAGAUUAAUGCUUCUAUGGGGUGUCAAAGUUAAGCCAAGGGCUAGAACACAGAAAGUGUGGAUUUAAUCCUGAAAACAAUGGGAAGCCACUGAAGGAUAAGAAAAGCAGAGUUAUGUGAGUUUGCAGGAUGCUGGGGAAAGGUUCCCUAGUGUUCCCACCUAAGCAGAAGUCUUCCUGGGAUGGGACGUAUACCGGCAUAAGGCAAUCUGAGCUGGCCUGGGCUCUGGCCAAUCCAUGGGAGAUUUUGGAUUAAUCCCAGCUCUGCCUCUUACUUAACUUUCUUCCUUUCUGAAUAAGAGUCACAAUCAAUAAGCUCACAGGUUUGUAAAAGUGUAGAUAACAUAACACACACACAAUGCCCAGCCUAGUAGGACAUGCCUUAGUAAGCUUCAGUAAGCUGUCAGUCUACCCUUCCUCACAUUUCCCAGUGAGUGUGUAUCAGCACCAGGGGAGAGAGGGAUUGCUCAGAGAUGAUCUAAUGAAACAAGAAUGACUUUGGCAAGCUGAGAGAGCUCAAGAGCAAAAUUGGAGAAGACUAAGAAAUGAUGACCUAUCCCCUUGUCUUGGGUUUCAAACAGAUAGAAAGGAUAGUGAUAGAAUAGAAAAAGGCCCAUGAAAUGUUUUACAAAGCAGGACAUUUUGGAGCUAGUGGCAUGGUUGGAGGAAAAAUAUUUUAUGGAUGUUAUGUAGACUGGAAGGUGGAUCCUGGAAGAAGGUGGGUACCGCGUGGAGAUGGCAGUCGGGGUGACAGCGGUGGUGGUUUCAAUGGGUAGUAGUGUAGUCAGGCACUAGUGGUGAUUGGUUUCGAUGAAUUUUCGUAGGUGGAGAAACAUGGUGCUCAAUACCCAUAGCCCCUAGAUUGCGGCAUGUAAAUAAUGAUGCCAUCUUCCAUUAAAAAGAAUCAAGGCUCCUUGGAGAAAUGGAUGAUUCUAGAUCUGAGGCAAAAAAUAUACAAAAUGAACCUGAAACAACUUAUUGUCAAAAACCAACAAGUUAUGAAUUUCUUCUAGGUCAGGUCGUAUCAAAGAGGCUUCUACUGGCCAAAGACAGAAAAAUUAGAGCACCAAUAAGGAUAAUAACUAAAAUGGAUUGAAACACAUUGAAUAUAUUUAAAUCCACGAGUUCAUAAUGAUACUAGAAAAAGAAAAGAACACCUCUCUCAUCACCUCUGGAAGAUGCUAAGAAAACCACUCAUUUUGAAAACUGGUAAACAAAAGAAAAAAGCUUAUAUUUUUUCCUGUCAUUCUAAAUCAAAUAGUAACUGUGGCUGACUAAAUACUUGAGGGAAAGUUUAUCUUUACAAACCAUGUUAUCUAAUAAAUGAUGAUGUAAUAAAUGAAUUAGGAUAUAACCAUUUGGAAACCCCUAACGAAUUAAUGUAUCUAGGCAAUGAUCACUAAUGGCUCCUCAUGAAUGAAGAACAACAAAAUGUAAUGCCUCCCCUUGCCUCCAACCACCACAGAGACACACUGCCACCAGUCCUAGAGCUACCUACCGAUUUUCAGGAAAUGCAAUUAUCAGAAGAACAUGUUAACUGACACCAUUAAGAUACAACUAGCAAAAUAUAGACUGUGGGACACUCUCUAGAUUUCUUCAAUAAAUAUAUUUCAAGGAAUACAUGGACCACAUUUUGAUCCUGACUCCAACAAAUUGUAAAAAUGAUAAAUGAAAUCAUCAAAAUUAGAAGACUAAAUAACUGAAGAUGUUAAAUUACAUUUUUGUCUACAUGU